GGUAAAAUGGCUGAUUGAAGGCGAUAAAUUGUAAAUUUAUUUAUGGUUAAUUCCUUUUAUCA
rnacentral:tRNA from 1 species